GUACGAGAAAGUGGAGCAAUCCAUGAGUACAGUGGCGACCGGGUGAGUAACACGUGACUACCUACCCUCGAGUGGGGAAUAACUCCGGGAAACCGGGGCUAAUACCGCAUAACAUCGAGAGAUCAAAGCAGCAAUGCGCUUGAGGAGGGGGUCGCGGCUGAUUAGCUAGUUGGUAGGGUAAUGGCCUACCAAGGCGAAGAUCGGUAUCCGGCCUGAGAGGGCGCACGGACACACUGGAACUGAAACACGGUCCAGACUCCUACGGGAGGCAGCAGUGGGGAAUUUUGCGCAAUGGGGGAAACCCUGACGCAGCAACGCCGCGUGGAGGAUGAAGUCCUUUGGGACGUAAACUCCUUUCGACCGGGACGAUAAUGACGGUACCGGUGGAAGAAGCCCCGGCUAACUUCGUG
rnacentral:rRNA from 1 species